rnacentral:sRNA from 1 species
UCCGUGGUCACACAACACGAUUCCAAGAAGGCUGGAGCUGAGGUGGUAAAGCAGGUGGAGCACCCUUUGCUGAGUGGCCUCUUGUACCCCGGACUGCAGGCUUUGGAUGAAGAGUAUUUAAAAGUAGAUGCCCAAUUUGGAGGCGUUGAUCAGAGAAAGAUUUUUACCUUUGCAGAGAAGUACCUCCCUGCACUUGGCUAUUCAAAACGGGUCCAUCUGAUGAAUCCUAUGGUUCCAGGAUUAACAGGCAGCAAAAUGAGCUCUUCAGAAGAGGUAAGUUGCCAGCUGAGACUUGAAUUUAGCAGUCUUCAGCCUCAAUGGAGAGAUUGAGGACUGAAAAGAACAGUGACCUAGCUAACUAGAAUUCUCCAAUAUUUGAGUUAGAAGGGGCCUUACACCAUUCAAUUAGUUCAGUAGUUCUUGAGUAUCAAAGGAUCCAGAGCAGUCCUGAUGAGAUCUAAUCAUAACUUAAUGGUUUUUACUGCUGAUAAAAAAAUACAAGCAAAACUAAUGUCUUUGUUCAUAGAACUGUGAUAGAAUUCAGCCUUAUUAAUGAGAGCACUUCGGUUGCAUUUCACUAAUUAGCAUUUUGAUUCCUAGGGUAAUACUUGAUAUUAAUAUUAUGAUAUCUUUUAAUAUUUAAGAGUCCCUCUUGAGCUCAUGUACUUGAGGGCAAGUUCACUUUGGUUCUGAUCAUUAGAGCGUGGAAAUCCAAAGAUGUGAAAAGUUGAGUUCUGGGUUCCCAAACAUGGCUUACCUUCAAAAUCAUCUAGGGAAUU